UUGGUAAACAAGGUAGCGUAAUACCGGAUAAGAAAGACGGAUCGCAUGAUCAGCUUUUAAAAGGUACGGCGUAAGCUGUUGCUAUGGGAUGGCCCCGCGGUGCAUUAGCUAGUUGGUAAGGUAAAGGCUUACCAAGGCGAUGAUGCAUAGCCGAGUUGAGAGACUGAUCGGCCACAUUGGGACUGAGACACGGCCCAAACUCCUACGGGAGGCAGCAGAC
rnacentral:rRNA from 1 species